ACCUCCACCCCUUCCAUCCAUUGGUCAGCGCUCGCGCUCCACCUGUUUCCGCACAUCCCUAAAAAAAUCCCUGCUGGCACACAAAGCCUAUUCUCCCUACGUUUUGGCCUUUAUCCUAAUAAAACAACCUAAGCGAGCUGCAUCGGCCGCCGUCCCAUUGCCCUCGCCGCCGCCGUCCCUUGUUCCUUCACCAAGCCCGCGUCCCUUGCCACUUUCUCCACGCUUCAAAGACGCACACUGCAUCUUUUCCAUCCUCCUCGCGUCGGGGACACACACAUGGCGUCGUCGCCAUCCUCCUCGCGUCUGGGAAGGUGCCGUCGCCGCCGCUCCUACGCGCGACCUGAGAUGCCGAGGCCGUUGUUCUCCUCCGCACAGCCAGGGACGACGCACGCACCGACGCCCCGUCCUCAACUGCAUUAGCUCAGCGGUACGCCCCCUGUCCUCGCUCGUCUUGUUUGUUCCCCGAUGGCGCCCACUGGCGCACAGCAGCCGAUUGGUCGCAGCCCAUCGACCUACACAGCUCACAGCUUCCAGGCAGUGACUCAGCUCCAAAGGAAAGGAGCAACUCCUCUCGACCUCUCCAAAAUCCCGAGUCCCUGCUAGUAUUAUUUGAGAUAUUUGCCGGUGUAGUGAUGUAAGUACUAAGUACUGCCUGCGUAAGGGGAAAAUAACUUGCAAGAUGGUGCAGGUAAUUUCCUUUGAUUCUUUCACAUAUCCCUAAAUUUCACUUACAAGUUACAAAAUUUUCUAUUAAUCUAAUUACUUAUUUCUACAGCUUUUAUUGUAUCCAGUAAAGAAUUCUUGUUAACACUGGUUAGCAUGACAUCAAUCUGAGUAAAUUGUAUCGAGUGAAGCAUUGUUAACAUGAGAACAAUCUGACUGCGUGAAAUUUCCAAUUCAUAUCCACAGUGCCUCAAAAGAAACUGUAUCUAGUGAAAAAUUGUUGUUAGGAUGAGUGCAUAACAACUUUCCUUCAGCCUGGCCUGCCCUGCUAUUUUUUUUGUAGGUCCGCCACAGAAACACACUAAGGCUCCGUUCGGCUGCUCAGUAUUUUUUGAGUUUUAGGAAAAUACCAUUGUUUUUGUAGAAACCCCAGUUUUAAAUACUUUGACGUGUUUGGUUUCGACAAAUACUUUAGUUUUACAAACCAUGGUAUAUCUAAAACUAUGGUUUUUUUGCUGUAUCUAAAAAAGAGGUCUCAACCUCUUUUUGUAAACUGAGAAACACUCGCUCGAGUACAUCUUCUUCGGGUCCUCCUCACCCAUCUCUUCCGCAGCCAUGCAAUUAAGAUUACCACCUGGGAAGCUUGACUACUCUGCCGUUGAUUUCUUCAAUUGUUUACUAUUGUUCGGCCUGUACAUUAGAUAGUACUAGAGGUACGGUCCUAUCAGAUGAUGCGUUUACACAUACAAAAGAUUUAGCGAAUGCUUAGACCCUGGAGUAGAUCGAUUGAUACUGAGCAAAGUUAUACAUAGUAGUCUAAGCUAGCUAGCCGUUCGAUUCGAUGUGGCCAGAGAUACAAGAUUACUCAACAACAUAUCCUAGCAUCUAGAGGAUGUUCGCGUGCAUGACAAGGCUAUAGGCACGCAGCGGCCAUUAAUUAGCACACGCUGAUCACGUCGUUGUAUAACUCCUUUGUUGUAGGUUCAACUAGCUAUAUUUAGGAUUAUCCAUGCAACGAGUGGUCAAAACCAAGAAACCAAGAAAAACUGCACUUGCCAAACAUCUCUAUAGUUUUUCUAAAACAGAGAAAAGCUGCGGUUUUUAGAAACCGAAGUAUUCAUUGCCAACAUAUUGGAAUACCGAGGUUUUCAAUUACCAUGGUUUUGGAAAAACCGGGUUGCCAAACUAGGCCUAAAGUAUUUAAAACUAUAGUAUUUUUUAGAAACCACAGUAUUUUCCAAAUACUGAGAAAAUACUUCGCUGCCAAACGGGCCCACAGAUUUACUGUUUCACAUGCAUCACUAAAGGUUACAGUUGACACAUAAGUUUCUCAGUGAAAUAAAUGCAGGAUUCUUCUACUCAAACAUUGAACAAGAAGAAAAGAUGGUUUCUGCUGAGGGACGUCAAGUUGAUGAACAUGUCAAGAAGAUCAUUGAAUUGAAAUAUAAGGUUCUGCAAAUUUUAUUCAUAGAUCAGGAAAUUCUAAUAUGUGACAUGGUAAAUCUCAGGUAAUUAGGAUCUCUUGUGUGAUGUAUAUUAUGCAAAGAUUUUUGAGUUGUCGGCACUGAGGUUUCUCCUAAUACAUCAUGACACGCAUGACUAAUAAAUAAUCCCAAGAACGAGUAGUACGGGAAUAAUGUGACACAAAGCUAAUUAAUGCAGAGACCUCUCGAAAAUGGAAAUAUUCAACUCAGUAUAUUCGGUAUUAUUAGUUACCAACUUGUCAUUUAGUUGGUUGGUGAAUUCAUUUCAUUGUUUAUAUAAUAUAUUUUUUGGAUCUUUAGUAGUAUAUGCAAGCUGAUGGUUGUUCAUAAUGAACAACCACAUCUCAAAGGUGCUUGCUGUAUUAAUAUGCAGUUUCUUAUCUCACGAGCCAUGGACAUUCAGAAUAUGUGCAAGGCAAUUAAGGUAAAUAGAAGGCCCUCAGUUUACAAAGAAUUGGUCAAGAGUGAAGACUCAAAGUCUGUGUUUGUACUCCAUAGCAUGGCGAUGGCCCUUUUGCUAGUGUGUAUUAUUGUUAUUUUUUACCGAGUGAUGAUACUGACAUUGCAAGUAUGUGAAGUUUCCACAUUUGAAUUUUGGUCUUUUUUAAGAGAAAAUAGACUGGAACACUAAAAACAUAUAAUGUUAGUUCAUAUAGUUUUGAGUUGAUACAAGAUGUUAUUUAAUAAAUUCAUGUUCAUGUUUUUGUAUUCAGAUUAUUAAUUAUCCCCUUGUCUAUAUAAUAAAUCUAUGUCAUGAUAAAUCACAUUUGUAAGGUGCUCCUUUAAAUCGCACUUCUCUAUUAACCUGAUUUCUAUAAUGUAAGUUGCUCAUCUAAUACUAUUAACAUUGUUGUUGUUGCUGUAGAUCAUGAAGACAAAUUGACAAUGCAUGGCUCACAUGUUGAUUGCAAGGUUAAGAAUGGGCUACUACAAGAUAAUUAGAAUGUCAUUUUUAGGACCAAAGUUUCAGACAUCAUAGUUGAUUGCAAGGUCAAGAAUUGGGCUACAGAUAGAUAGUUUCACCUCUUGUAAUCUUUGGAUCACGUUCCUUGUAAUGCAACAUAGUCAAUUUAAUACAUGAGAAGUUUAUGUUUGUUAUA